AUGCUGUCGAAUGGACUUAAAUACAUAUGGUGCAACAAAACAAUGGAUGUUUCCAGCUCUCGCGGUCUAUGCGAACGUUGAACGGGGUGGUCCCUCUUCCGAUUGUGACUUUUCGAGGCCGCGGGCCGGUCGCGGUUACAUACACGGGAGUCAAUCGGCGUUGGCCAGCAUUCAACAAGUGACGCACUACGCAGCAUAUCCUGUCUCUGAAGUGUGAAUAAAAAAUUCUAUAAUACGCGGAAGCCGGAUUAUCGCUCAGCUUCCAAAUAGCUCUAUACAUACAUAUGUAUAACAGAGCGGCGAAUUAUAUCUAAUUAUUCACCUAAAACACGCGCUACCACAAC
rnacentral:misc_RNA from 1 species